rnacentral:rRNA from 1 species
AUGACCGACGAAGAUCGGAGAAAAUUCCAGGAAGCCAAUACUAUGUUUGUGGGAUGCAUUCUGAGUAUUCUUGCUGACCGUCUGUGUGAUGUGUACAUGCACAUAAACGACGGAAAAAUUCUGUGGGAUGCACUGAAUACAAAAUUCGGUGCAACAGAUGCAGGCAGUGAACUGUACAUCAUGGAGAGUUUUCAUGACUACAAGAUGGUGAAUAACCGUUCUGUGGUUGAACAAGCUCAUGAGAUACAGUGCAUUGUGAAGGAACUUGAACUCCUUAAAUGUGUUCUACCCGAUAAAUUUGUGGCUGGGUGCAUGAUUGCAAAGUUGCCUCCUUCAUGGAGAAAUUUCGCCACAACUCUGAAGCAUAAGAGACAGGAGAUAUCAGUUGAAAAUCUGAUUGCAUCUCUUGAUGUUGAAGAAAAAGCUCGGGCUAAAGAUACCACUGAAAAAGGAGUAUUUCAAUCAUCUUCGUGGUGGAUUGAUUCGGGUCGCAAGGAAUUCUUCCGUCCUAAUGGGGAAUGGGUCACAUGCUUCUGUUCGUGGCAUUGGCACGGUGGCUGA